AUAAAUACUCCUAAAGUAUCGAUACUUACUCAUAUCCAUACUUUUAGCAGUUUAUUAUUUUUUUAUUUUUGAACUUUGAAAGACAAUAAUUGAAAAAAAAUUAAGAAGGAAAAGAAAACUUUUAUUAUAAAGGUUUGCGUCUUUCAUCUUGCGUCUUGGCAUCUUUCUCGCUUUUGGCUCGGGCUCGGUCGAGUGAAGUCAGACGAGUUCGGCUUGGCUGGCGCGAGACAAUGCGUCACCAUAUCAUCAGAUAGAGAUUAUGUUUGUCUGAUGCGUUCGGCUUUUUUUAAUGGUGAGACUGAUUCCAUUUGAUACCAAGUACUAACCAAUAUAAUAUAGUUGUCUAUGCCAAGUACUUUUGUUACGAUACCGAUUUAAACCUUACCUUAACAUGGUGAAAAAACGGCUGGAACAGGAAUUAUUGUUGUAGGACAGAACUUCACAGAAGGGUUUUAGCCAAUUUUUUUGGAUCUUCUGAGGUAGCAAAUGAUAAAACAUGGCAGCUCUACUCCAUCCCAUCCCAUAAUGUGGUUGGUGGUUUUAUUAUAAAUAUAUCCUUGAGAAAGCAUCUAAUAUUGAGCCGACUUCCAACUGAGCAGAAACUGUUGGAAGGAUCCAUAUUUAAAAUUUUUGUAUUUGACCAGAUUGGCAAAGAAUUUUAAAACAUCUUUCUGGAUCUACUUCUUAUACAUUCUUCAGCGGAUUCAACAGGGGAGUUCAGCAGUGUUGGCAAGGGAUAAUAGUCCUUACUCCAUGGAAAGGUUUUGAAUAUUUGAUGACCUGAAAUUGAAGAUAACAGGGUUAUGAGUUCCUUGGGCGGAAGUUUACAUCAUAUGGGAUACCAAGGUUGGUAGUCCAAUUAGGAACUAUCAUAAUUCCCAUCGCUUUUUCCAACAUUACUCUAUUAAGUAUUCUUGGAAUCAGAUAAAAAGGUGGAAAUGCAUAGAAAAAUAAGUUGUUGGAAAGACACUGUGAAUCAUGGACUGUAAAUGAAGAUAUGUGUAGCAAGUUAGAAGCGUUCGAAAAGUGACUAUACAUGCGAAUAUUAAAAAUCCCUUGGACUGAUAGUGUUACUAAUGAAGAAGUACUUCGAUGAAUGAAAAAAGAUAGUGAAAUAAUCAACACCAUCAAAAUACGCAAGCUACAGUACUUCGGCCACAUAAUGAGAAACGAAUCGAGAUACACCUUGCUUCAAUCCAUCUUGCCGGGAAAAAUUUUUGGAAAAAGAGGCCCAGGAAGAAGACGAUCGUCCUGGUUGAAGAAACUCAGAUCCUGGUUUAAUAAAACAACACCUUAACUUUUCCGUAUUGCUGCUGACAAGAUAAAAAUUGCCAUGAUGAUCGCCAACAUCCGUAAUGGAUAGGCACUUUAAGAAGAAGUCCCUGUGAGAGCGUCCACUGCAAAGCCAUUGGAGUGACGGAAUCUUGAGAUAUAUUUUUGGCCUUCGUUAUUUAUGUAGGAUGUAAAAAGUAGGGCGAAAUCGUCUGCAAUUUUUAGAUAUAACUUGUUAUCUAAUUCAAAGUCCGCUUCUGAUAUUGGAGUUGUAGAUUUUUUAUCAGCUUGAGAGUUUUCUUUACCAGGUAUCACGUUCUUCACACCACUGCCAAAUUUCUCUGGUUAAGGAUGUUAGGUCUGGAUAUUUCGCACUAACCAUACGAUAUAGGCGAUGGCAGUGGUGUCAACGCGCAAGAGGAUACUCUCAGACCUGACGGCAGGAACAAGUAAAAAGUAAAAUUCAACUCAAUAAAAUGUAUGUGCCUAGAUUUAUCUUUUGCUGUCCACCUUCCAUGAGUCUCAUUAUCGGACAUGACCCCUCCCCAACCUGAUAGACUGAAAUCACUAAACAUAGUCACAGUUAAACUUGUCUUGCCUUAUCACAUUAAAAGAACUUUUAAUAGCUUUUUGCCACCAAAAACAUAUCUGAUUUUCGAGCCUCUGGCAAUGACACAUAUGUACUGUAAUUGUCAUUAUUCGAGGUCAUAGAUAAAGUCUUCAAUUUUUCCAAUUCCUUUGUGUAAAGCCAACCAUGCUUAAUGGCUGGUCAAGCUACCACAAGCCCUCCCAGUAAUUGGUUUAGAAGUGACAACAUUUUUUUCUCUUUUUUCAAGUGUUAAUGAAAUAUGCAUUUUAGUGUUAUGUUCGUUUUUUGGAUUUAAAUUUAAUUUGUCAUAGUUAGCAUUAAACCCAAGUGACUCUAAAAAUUGACAUAUUUUAUGUGCAUGUAUAGAACAGAUCUAAGAAUCUUGAUGCAUAAUCAUCCAAAUAAGCUAUGCUUGAUGCAUAAUUAUCCAAAUAAGCUAUGCAUGUAAUUACUUCGGAGACUAGCCAUGAGACAAGUAUUUUUGGCUCGUAUACUUACUUCUUAUUUAGCCUUGUACGUGUAUCUUGCUUUCUUAGUGUUUCGUUUAGUAGGAGUGGUCCUAUUCGUUCUUGGUCCUUGGUUUCUCCCCCUUCCGAGAUGGGCCCCAGGAGUUUAAAGCCCUCGAGCUUCUGACUGGUUGGACUUAGGCAGAAGAGGCUUUUUAUUUGCUACAAAUGGAGGUUUAUUUACCUAACUUCUUAUGUUCUUUGAUGAUUUCUCACUGAAAUCAAAGCCUAGCAGAUAGUUGUCAACUUUAUUACAAAAACCAGCUUCUUUAGCUGAUAGCUUCCCUAUAAUUAGAGAUUAUGAGGUUCAAAAUAUUAAGGAUUUCUAUCACUUGCCCUGCUUGCCUUAACAACUCUGUUUCUAUCUGAGGACUAUUUACCCUCUCAUCUAUCUGAAAGUUUUUGUCAUGUAUUGUACUCUUGUGAUAGUGGAAGAUAUGUACUCCUGAAGUAGGCUUAACUUAUAUUCCCAAGUUGUAAUUUCCUUUGUUCUUCCACUCACCAAGGUGGUUAUUUCUGGAUUUUGAAUUAGCACCUUCCAGAUACUUAUUACAGUAGAACCCCGAUUAUCCGUGCGCGCUUUAUCCGGGCGGCAUUUUAAAUUGAUCAACCGUGCGCGGAUUAUCCGUGCUAACGGUCAGAGGUUGGCAGCGCAUGGUCGCUGCAUGCACUGUGUCGUUCUUUUCGGGGAAUCCCUAAAUUUGUGUCGGGGAAUCCAUGUUUUAACCAACUAUAUUUGCCGAAUACUGAUCGACUGACUCAUUAGUUUGGGUUAGUUAGUUAAACGUAAACAGAGGCACAAAGUGGAGCGUACCGGUGCUAUGCGUAAACGCAAUGUUUUAAAUAUUGAGCAAAAAAUGCAAACUUUAAGGCAAUUUGACAUGUGUUUCUGUGUUGGCUAAAAAGUAUAACAUUAGAAAACAAACAGUUCGUGACAUUGUAAAGAGAAAAGCCAAAUUAUAAAGCUUCGAAACUAAACCAGAUAGUGCUAAAGCUAUUUCUGAUCGAAAAUCACUAAAAGGGUCUAGUUUUCGACAACUUGAUCAUGCUAUGAGCAGGUGGUUCUUGCAGAAGAGAUCGGAAGGGGUUCCGAUAUCAGGACCUAUGUGUGCUAGGCAAGCUGCAAAGUUUCACCAGCAAUUAAAAAUUAAAGGCAACUUCUCUGCAUCUUCUGGUUGGCUUUACAGAUUUAAAAAACGAGAUGGAAUAUGAGAAUUGGCUGUUCAAGGGGAGAAAUUAAGUGCUAAUGACGUUGCUAUGGUAGAAUUUUGCUAUGAUUUUGAAAAUCUUUUGACCGAGCACGAACUAAAACCUGAGUAAGUGUGUAAUAGGGACGAAACGGGAUUUUAUUGUAUGUAUGUGUGUUAUGCAAAUAAAUGGUUUGGAAGAAAUAGACAAUAAAGAAAUAUAGGACUAGAUAGAAUGCAAUCACAAGGAAGCAGGGUAUCAGAUCAUAAAUGACGAUAACAUAAGUAACAAGAUUGCUUUCGCAGAGCGGCUUUGUAUUUCAGAGAAGCCGCUUAGUGACUUCUUGUCCUAGGAGAAAGCAUUGUUUUUCUAUCGUGCUAAUGCGGAUCACUAUGGAACUUUCGCAAAAUGUAAUUUUAUUAUGCUUGUACCCUAGCCGAGUUUCAAUAUCAUUGUAUACUUUG